UGAAGAUAUUCGUGGUAUUGGCGCUGGUGGUGGUACGGGACAAAUUGUGAUCAUUACUUAGUCGUGAGACAGCCAGCCAGCGGUGAACACAACAACCAUUUCCACUCUUCACCUCUUACAAGCACUACGAAUCUUAACACCACCGACUUCCUCCAUUUGUGAGUAUUGCACUGAGUUACCCAGAAAAAACCCCAGCAAUUUGUUGUAUGUAAUCCUCUGAGAGAAAUCUACACAUCGUGAAACAUCUUUCUGCUGUGUACGGCUCCCGUAGGUGUAGGUGAAGGUGGUGUUCCUCCGUGACAGCAGCAGCAUGAAGGUGGUGGUGACUCUCCUCGUGGUGGUGGUGACCUUACUUCACUACGGUGAGGCGGUGAAGUGCUACAACAAGAAGGUAGUCGAGUGUGGAGGCUCCUGCUUCAUCAAGACUACUGAUGGUGAUGACUUCUCUGAGCUUGGGUGUGAUCCUGCUUUUAAGAAUAAGACUACAGUUGAGGAUGGCGUCACCACUAAAUACUGCAACGGGGACAAGUGUAACUCCGCCGUCGUGAGCUUCGGUGUCUCCUUCGGCUUUAACCUUUUCCUCCUGGUCCAAGGAACCCUCCUCCACCAGCUGUUGUAAACCAAAAGGAAAGAACUUCAGCCUCCUCCACCAGCUGUUGUAAACCAAAAGGAAAGAACUUCAGCCUCCUCCACCAGCUGUUGUAAACCAAAAGGAAAGAACUUCAGCCUCCUCCGCCAGCUGUUGUAAACCAAAAGGAAAGAACUUCAGCCUCCUCCACCAGCUGUUGUAAACCAAAAGGAAAGAACUUCAGCCUCCUCCGCCAGCUGUUGUAAACCAAAAGGAAGGAACUUCAGCCUCCUCCACCAGCUGUUGUAAACUAAAAGGAAGGAACUUCAGCCUCCUCCACCAGCUGUUGUAAACCAAAAAGAAAGAACUUCAGCCUCCUCCGCCAGCUGUUGUAAACCAAAAGGAAAGAACUUCAGCCUCCUCCACCAGCUGUUGUAAACCAAAAGGAAGGAACUUCAGCCUCCUCCACCAGCUGAUGUAAACCAAAACGGAGCAUCUUCAGCUUUCCAGUGUAACCAUUUCAGAGUAUUACAUGAAGUUGUGGAAAGAGAAAGCGUGUGUCAUGUUAUUAGGUGUACCUUAUAUCAGUGUCCUUGUUUACAGUAAUUAAUCAGUGUGUCCGUCUCUUUAUUUGGAGUGAUGUAUUUUAGUUUAGCCUCAGGCAGCUAGUUAGUGUUAGUGUCAGUACGGGUGAGUACUUUUCACCUUUCCAAUUUCAAAUAUUUAUUAUGAAGAAGUUAACAAAGCUACAAUGUUAAGCAAGUUAUAAUAAUAAGGAAUAUGUCAAAAAGUUUUGUAUUUUCCUGCAACAGAAGUUCAAUAUGAAUUACUUUUGCACCUCUGCAGACUUCUAAGGAGUGGUGUGUUCCCCUCUACACAUUAUGUAUCAUAUAGUGAACUCUUGUAGCAGCCUCACGAAGCCGUUCCUUGAAAAUUUCUAAAGUUACUGUUAUUGGUCUAGUGAAAUUAAUAAAUCUUUUACUUGUUCA